rnacentral:rRNA from 1 species
GACGAACGCUGGCGGCGUGCCUAAUACAUGCAAGUAGAACGCUGAAGGAGGAGCUUGCUCUUCUGGAUGAGUUGCGAACGGGUGAGUAACGCGUAGGUAACCUGCCUGGUAGCGGGGGAUAACUAUUGGAAACGAUAGCUAAUACCGCAUAACAGUAGAUGUUGCAUGACAUUUACUUAAAAGGUGCAAUUGCAUCACUACCAGAUGGACCUGCGUUGUAUUAGCUAGUUGGUGGGGUAACGGCUCACCAAGGCGACGAUACAUAGCCGACCUGAGAGGGUGAUCGGCCACACUGGGACUGAGACACGGCCCAGACUCCUACGGGAGGCAGCAGUAGGGAAUCUUCGGCAAUGGACGGAAGUCUGACCGGGCAACGCCGCGUGAGGGAAGAAGGUUUUCGGAUCGGAAAGCUCUGUUGUAAGAGAAGAACGAGUGUGAGAGUGGAAAGUUCACACUGUGACGGUAUCUUACCAGAAAGGGGCGGCUAACUACGUG